rnacentral:rRNA from 1 species
CUGGACCUUGCAGCGAGUAGCAUGCCCGGAGAUUUCAGCCAGUGAAUAAUGAAGCAUUACGACCCGGAGAUUUCGCAGAUAGUCAUUCCAGAAAGGGGGAAGAUUCCUGUAGAUGCCGCAAGUGUCCGUAGGAUAUGGGGUUUGCCCAACAGGGGCAGGAAGGUGUGCUUCGAGAAUCGGCCUGAAAUCACAAAGGCAAUGUACAGUAUUUACAACAUCACAUCGAAGAACUCCCCAACCCUCACAGAAUGGUGCAAGAUGAUCGUUGACAUGGGAGGAUCUCAUGAUGAUGACUUUGUCCGCGCUUGGCUAGCUCUUGUUUUUUCAUGCUUCCUUGCCCCUUCAACUAGUUUGAGUAUUUCCCCAAGGUCAUGGAUGUCAAUGGAAUAA